ncrna:unclassified sequences pemK RNA
UUAAAGAUACUUCUCUACGGGGCUGGCGGAGACCCCGGCAGAGGUUAGAUUCCUAUGG